GGUUAAGUUAGAAAGGGCGCACGGUGGAUGCCUUGACACUAGGAGUCGAUGAAGGACGGGACUAACGCCGAUAUGCUUCGGGGAGCUGUAAGUAAGCUUUGAUCCGAAGAUUUCCGAAUGGGGAAACCCACCAUACGUAAUGGUAUGGUAUCCUUAUCUGAAUACAUAGGGUAAGGAAGACAGACCCAGGGAACUGAAACAUCUAAGUACCUGGAGGAAGAGAAAGCAAAUGCGAUUUCCUGAGUAGCGGCGAGCGAAACGGAACAUAGCCCAAACCAAGAGGCUUGCCUCUUGGGGUUGUAGGACAUUCUAUACGGAGUUACAAAGGAACGAGGUAGACGAAGCGACCUGGAAAGGUCCGUCGUAGAGGGUAACAACCCCGUAGUCGAAACUUCGUUCUCUCUUGAAUGUAUCCUGAGUACGGCGGAACACGUGAAAUUCCGUCGGAAUCUGGGAGGACCAUCUCCCAAGGCUAAAUACUCCCUAGUGAUCGAUAGUGAACCAGUACCGUGAGGGAAAGGUGAAAAGCACCCCGGAAGGGGAGUGAAAGAGAUCCUGAAACCGUGUGCCUACAAAUAGUCAGAGCCCGUUAACGGGUGAUGGCGUGCCUUUUGUAGAAUGAACCGGCGAGUUACGAUCCCGUGCGAGGUUAAGCUGAAGAGGCGGAGCCGCAGCGAAAGCGAGUCUGAAUAGGGCGUUUAGUACGUGGUCGUAGACCCGAAACCAGGUGAUCUACCCAUGUCCAGGGUGAAGUUCAGGUAACACUGAAUGGAGGCCCGAACCCACGCACGUUGAAAAGUGCGGGGAUGAGGUGUGGGUAGCGGAGAAAUUCCAAUCGAACCUGGAGAUAGCUGGUUCUCCCCGAAAUAGCUUUAGGGCUAGCCUUAAGUGUAAGAGUCUUGGAGGUAGAGCACUGAUUGGACUAGGGGUCCUCAUCGGAUUACCGAAUUCAGUCAAACUCCGAAUGCCAAUGACUUAUCCUUAGGAGUCAGACUGCGAGUGAUAAGAUCCGUAGUCAAAAGGGAAACAGCCCAGACCGCCAGCUAAGGUCCCAAAGUGUGUAUUAAGUGGAAAAGGAUGUGGAGUUGCUUAGACAACUAGGAUGUUGGCUUAGAAGCAGCCACCAUUUAAAGAGUGCGUAAUAGCUCACUAGUCGAGUGACUCUGCGCCGAAAAUGUACCGGGGCUAAAUACACCACCGAAGCUGCGGAUUGAUACCAAUGGUAUCAGUGGUAGGGGAGCGUUCUAAGGACAGUGAAGUCAGACCGUAAGGACUGGUGGAGUGCUUAGAAGUGAGAAUGCCGGUAUGAGUAGCGAAAGACGGGUGAGAAUCCCGUCCACCGAAUGCCUAAGGUUUCCUGAGGAAGGCUCGUCCGCUCAGGGUUAGUCAGGACCUAAGCCGAGGCCGACAGGCGUAGGCGAUGGACAACAGGUUGAUAUUCCUGUACCACCUCUUUAUCGUUUGAGCAAUGGAGGGACGCAGAAGGAUAGAAGAAGCGUGCGAUUGGUUGUGCACGUCCAAGCAGUUAGGCUGAUAAGUAGGCAAAUCCGCUUAUC
rnacentral:rRNA from 1 species